AGUGGGUGUGGGCGGGCCCAGGGGGCGGAGAGCCCGAUGCGGAGACGCCCUCCGUUGCCUGGCGGGAGACACGGGAUGUGGCUCCGGGAACCGAUGGGGCCGGUAGGGUGAGGCGGCGCGGAGGAAAUGGCGGAGGGAAGCCCCUCGGCUCAGUGCCUUACGGGGAGCAAAGGCCACUCUCAGUGAGAGCCACAGCCAGUCCAGCAGCCGGGAGCCCCACCUGGAGCUGCCCUGUGUUUGUGAUAUCAAAGGCCCCCCAGCCUGAGCAUCCAAGAAGCUGAGCAUGGCCUCCCGGUUGUACAUGCCCGUGGACCGCUUCUCCGUCUGAUUUCUCUGCCGCAGCCCCACGGGGGUGCUCCCGUCCGGGUCCGCCACGUCCAGCUCCUUCUCCAGCUCCUCCAUCUCCUCGGGAGACAGGGUGGACAGCAGGCUGUCGAUGUCGGGGUCUUCACUCACCUGCCGGCGAUACUUGGCUACCUUAGACAUCCUGGCAAGGUGCGCUGGGACUCUUGCAGGGGCUGCUGGAGUCCUGGUGGGCGACGAGGGGGAGGCGCGGAGCUGACCUAGAUGGAGCAGAGUGGGCUUGAGAGCAGACUCCCAGCUGGUCGAGGACGCGGUGGCUCCUCCGCCCUGCCCUGCGGUGCCACAGGUGCCGAAGCGUUAACUGCAAGCUAGCUCCGAGCCCAGGGCUAGUGGACCCUGGCUGGUCUAACCAGCGGCCAAUGAGACUUGACAACGGCCUGGCCCCGAAAGGGGAAGCCAAUCCCCACACAGGGGGGGCGGGCCUGCCUCGCUGUCAGAGCUGUUUGAAACUUGAGGACAUUCCAGGGAAUCUUGGAGCUCUGUGUGACCAAAUUUAGUACAGAGCAUUUAGCCUUUUAAAGACAAGGGGGCAACGCAAUGAGAAAAAGAUACAAAAAUGCAGAGCCUGGCAGAAGCUGAUCAGAGCCACGGGAGGGCCAGAAAAGCAGGGAUGGGGCCAUGGGGGUUCAGGAACAGGCCAGCCCCAGGCACGUCCUGUUCAAGCACAUAUCUGACUUCUCCACCCGGGGUGGGUGUUGCCGUUGUUGGUACGUGGUCCACUGACUCCUUUCUACUGUAUUUGGUAAUGUGCUGGGGGACUUCCAGUAGUUUACAGCCCCAGGAAAGAUACGUGAUCCCAGAUCAUCUGAACUACCUGCCCACCCGUUCUCUCUGGGAAGGAGAACCCUAGUGCUGAGCAUCAGAGGCCCCAGCCACUUCUUGAGAGACAGAGAGAGAGGGAGAGAGAAUAAAUCUUCCCUGUGUACCCAAACUGAAAACUUGCAGGCUGUUUGGGGAAGACAGUGGGACCCGCGGAAGUCAGGAAACUCUUGAAGGACCGUCAAUUUCCAUGAAGUGCCAUGGCUCUUAGCGAGAGGGUUCAGACCUCCCUCCCUUCUCAUCUGCUUCCUCCGCUGCUGGGGCAUCUGUAGACAGAUCUCCUUUGGGAGCACCGGCAGGUUGCCACCCCACGUAUAAAUCCAGAGCACGACCGAGUGUGUCUUCGGGGAAAUAUAAUUCUGGGCUGUUGGGAGGGAUACUAUGGCAGCAAGUCUGGCAUGUUUCGUAAAAGGGCUUUCCACUGCUCAUCCAUCAUGCUGCCUGCACAAGUCACAGAGACACUCAAUCUCCUGCCCCCCUCCCUCCUGCCACAAAAUCCCUUCUAGAAGCCCUGGUGUAACCCAUCAGGGUAGAUGCUUCGAUCUUUCCUGGCGUCUUUCCAUCCUAAGCCAGAGAGAGACCGUCACCUGAUCAGCAUCUGCUGAGUCCAGGGAUCGUCUGGGACAAAAACUUGGCCCUGGCAUUUAACGUCCACUAGUCCGGCUUUAGGUUAAGGCUGAGCAGGGGAUGGCGCUGACUGGCGGGACUGGAGUGCAGAGGUGAGGCAGGGAGACCUGAGAGGAAGGGUGGAAGAAAGGCUUAGAGAAUCCCGGGGGUUGUCAUUUUUAGGAGGCAGUAGUCAGUCUGUCGGUGAGCCAGUAAGCAUGUAUUUAUCGAGUGCUUACUAUGUGUCAGGCAUGGUUCUAAGGGCAAGGCAUGUAACUAAAGAUAGAAAAUCAGGGGCGCCUGGCUGGCUCAGUGGGUGGAGCAUCUGACUCUUGGUCUCAGGGUUGUGAGUUCAAGGCCCAUGUUGGGUGUGGAGCCUAACUU